AUUGAACGCUGGCGGCAUGCUUUACACAUGCAAGUCGAACGGCAGCGCGGGCUUCGGCCUGGCGGCGAGUGGCGAACGGGUGAGUAAUACAUCGGAACGUGCCCAGGAGUGGGGGAUAGCUCGGCGAAAGCCGGAGUAAUACCGCAUACGACCUGAGGGUGAAAGCGGGGGAUCUUCGGACCUCGCGCUAUUGGAGCGGCCGAUGGCAGAAUAGCUAGUUGGUGGGGUAAAGGCCUACCAAGGCGACGAUCUGUAGCUGGUCUGAGAGGACGACCAGCCACACUGGGACUGGGACACGGCCCAGACUCCUACGGGAGGCAGCAGUGGGGAAUUUUGGACAAUGGGCGAAGGCCUGAUCCAGCAAUGCCGCGUGUGUGCUGAAGGCCUUCGGGUUGUAAAGCACUUUUGGCGGGAACGAAAAGGACUGUGCUAAUACCACGGUUCGAUGACGGUACCCGCAGAAUAAGCACCGGCUAACUACGUG
rnacentral:rRNA from 1 species